rnacentral:misc_RNA from 1 species
GGCUAUUAUCACUAGCAUGAUCCUCGUGAAGCUCUACAGAGUCAUCACCAUCUUCGCUUUCACUGCUGUCACUAUCGCUGCUCUCACUAUUUCUAUGAUUAUCGUGCCCAUUCUCACAAUGCUUGGGAGACUGCUUUUGAUUAAGCUGUGAAUUACUGCAUGGCUCCACAGCCAUCUGCCAUAUAGCAACAUCAAUAGAAUCUAACGCAAUCUGUCUUAAAUCAAAAAGGUCCCAUUCAGAAACUGAUCCAUCAAUACUGGAAGACAACAACCUUCCAGCAGGCGCACCACCGGAGCCCGACCGACACCAAACCAGCGAAGAAACCCUAGAAUUUGGAUUCCCG